rnacentral:rRNA from 1 species
GACGAACGCUGGCGGCGUGCUUAACACAUGCAAGUCGAACGGAAAGGCCCUGCUUUUGUGGGGUGCUCGAGUGGCGAACGGGUGAGUAACACGUGAGUAACCUGCCCUUGACUUUGGGAUAACUUCAGGAAACUGGGGCUAAUACCGGAUAGGAGCUCCUGCUGCAUGGUGGGGGUUGGAAAGUUUCGGCGGUUGGGGAUGGACUCGCGGCUUAUCCGCUUGUUGGUGGGGUAGUGGCUUACCAAGGCUUUGACGGGUAGCCGGCCUGAGAGGGUGACCGGCCACAUUGGUACUGAGAUACGGCCCAGACUCCUACGGGAGGCAGCAGUGGGAAAUAUUGCACAAUGGGCGGAAGCCUGAUGCAGCAACGCCGCGUGCGGGAUGACGGCCUUCGGGUUGUAAACCGCUUUCGCCUGUGACGAAGCGUGAGUGACGGUAAUGGGUAAAGAAGCACCGGCUAACUACGUG